CUUUGUAUUUCUUUGGAUUAUUCUACAGAUCUCUCAUCUCUUACAGAAAAUAUGGCAUCACAAACCCUACCUCCACGACAGGAUGAACUCACAGAUUCAGUGGAUGGGGAUACCUUCUGUAAAAAGCAGGAAUAUUCAGAUUAUGACGGUGGGACGGAGUCUGAGAAGUUGAACAAUGAAGGUAAGAUCCAGAAAGCUCAAGAGAUCCAGACUGAGGACAUUAACCACAAGUCUGAGGACAGCAUAGUUGAAGAACUGAGCCAAGAUGAUCAGAGUGACAUUGACUUUGAGACAGUACAUUUAGUGGAGGUUGAAAGCAACAUCAGCAGUUUCACCAAUAUGAGGAAACCAGCGGCAUGCGCAGUGGUCCAGGAAGACCAGUCUGGGCAACAGUCAGCAAAGCCAAAAGACAUGGCAAAGGAACAGAAGGAUGGUGAUAUGAAGGCAGAAAUAUUAGGAGUGGAAGAACAAGGGAAGAGAGUUAAAAAAAACAGCCAGAAGCAUAAGACAAAACAGGAGCAAGAGACAAUUAAGUUAAAUAUGGGCAGAGAAAGAAUGGAAGAAGAGAUAAAGAUGAUGGAUGAAGAACAUGAGAACGCCAAUAUGUCAAGGAGACUGGAAGAGGAGAGUAUGAGUGCUCUGGAAGAAGAGGAGAGGAGGAGGGUAAAGGAGGAAGUUGGGACAGAAAUGGUGAAAGGACAUCCCUCCCCUGCAGAAAAGUUAGACUCUGAUGAUAAAGUCUUGAGAGUCCCUAAAGAAUGUGAAAAAGAAGGAAAGAAAGGCAGGAAUAAAGGCAAGGAGAUCCUGACGGAGGACAAAGGUAUGUGUGCUUUUAACAGAUAUGUACAGUAGAUAUGUCUAUGAAAACCCCUGGACUACUUUGACCUGAAGUUUACCAAGGCUAUUUUUGGUUAUUAUUAAACUGUUGUCAUUCUCUAUAAAGAACCUAUGAUGAAGCCCGAAAAGACAGCACAUGCAAAUUCAGAGAAUAUUCUACUGAAGUCACCCUUACAAGGAGGUACUUAUUGACAAAUCUGGUCUGACAAAACUAUGCCUGUGAAAUGUGCACAGUGUAUCAACCUUUAUUUUAUUCUUACACAGAUCACCUCUCUCCCAUUGUGGAAAAGGUGACGUCAAAACCUUUGCCACCAUUACAAGGU
rnacentral:lncRNA from 1 species